GCCUAGUCCUUGGGAGCUCCAACAUAAAUAGUUGAGUUAAGCCAACUGGCAUAUAAACUUUUCCAUCACUCCUAAAAAAUGUUAAUUGUAAACCAAACAAACAAAAGAAUGGAAGGGUGAUUAACUAGCAAAAGAUCUUACAAUGGACCCCACUGCACAAGGUUCUUAAGAAUGUCAAACUAAAACUUAUUAAAAAGUUAAAAUCAAAUUAGAGAGAAAAUCAAGUUGAU
rnacentral:misc_RNA from 1 species